GGAUUUUCUCUGACUAUAGAAGCCCCCCAAGACAACCAGUGGAGAGGUUCCACUCCAGCCUUUGAUGCCUGGCUGCCCUAUUCACUGUGUGUGCCCAUCAUGAGAACUGGGCCAACAGGAAGUUCCCGGACAAAAGAAUGAAUCAAUGAUACAAGAUGAUGCUAUGAUUGCUGCUGCCAUCUGUGUCUGAAAUGUUCUACCUGGGGAGCAGGAAACGGUCUAUACCCAAGCACUCAGGUGGGGCGUCUUACCCUGUUGUCACAGAUGCAGGAGCGGUGAUUUGCAUGGGAAUCGUAGUAGUAGUUGAGCUGAGAGAGUCUGUAUUUACAAUAAAGAACUUUACAGUUGGAUUCACAGCUCCUGCCUAGGGGAAAAAAAACCACAGAAUUGAUAAUGAUUCUUUUAAAAUAAAACAGCCUCAUCAUUACAUAAA